CGAAGCCUGUUGUCUGUGGAGCAGUUAGGUGUGGGGAUAUCCCUCAGGUACAUCUCCCUAUAGAGAUCGCUCAGUCAGGCAUUCAUCCAAUCUACUCCUGCACCGCUCAUUACGUCGAGAUGUUGCUCAAGGCAGAGGUUCCUCUGGUUUUUUCUGCCUUCAGGAUGUCUGACUUCACUCCCUCUCAGAAGGAACCAAUCCACGGCUUCAGGGUGAGUAAUUACCUGGAGUACAUGGAGGGGCUGGAGGGCAACUACAGAUCCAUGGUGCUCUCGGACAUGAGGAGCAUCUUACCAAGGAGCAGCUAGAAGGAAACAGACCACUGAAGAUCAGCAGGGACUGAAAGUGCUUGUGGUACAGAAUGAGACUGAACAUGUUGCAUGGAUUUAAAGCUGUUUUUAUUACACAACAUGCUCAAUAAGGGCACUGUUUUAUCAAACACUAUGUGUUUUCCCCCUUUGCUUUCAUUCUCUUUUAUUUAUUUUUUUGGAUUCUAAUACCGUACUAUAGUAUUCUCACUUAGGGAAUCAUAAAUAUGAGAACACAAGCUCUUCAAAGUAGAGGGUGACACGGGAGUGGAUUUUCAAAUCUUUCCCGUCCCACUCCCGCAAAAAAAAAUUCCGUCCCAUACCAAUCCCGCAAAAAAAAAAAAAAAAAAACGGGGAGAAAAUCCCAUCCCAUUCAAUCCCGGAAGAAUGAAUCCCGUUCCCGCCCACUCCCAGGUUGUAUAUUUUUUGGCUGGAAUCUGUCAGUUACAGUAAAAAAAUAAAUAAAUAAAAAAUACAGUAGGCUACAGAUCACAGCAUCACAGCAACUUUAGUAAAAUAAAAAAAUUAAAUGUGUUUUUUGCAGAUGCAGAUUGCAGAUUUUUCUACGGGUUCAAGUUGGUUACACAAGUUUGUUGACCAAUGGAAAGCUGCUUUUUUUUUUUUUUUUUAUGUGACUUCUGUAUGAGAUGUGCACUGAACACUGAGAAUAGACAGUAGUCCAAAAUUUCUAGAAUGCUGGCCCCAUAUGUAGGUUCAUGAGUCAUUUUGCAGUCUCAGACUGCUAUAUGACAUCAGUACGUAAGAAAAAUUUCCAUGCUUUUGAAUGCUUGAUUGCUGUCUUAAUGAGCAAUCGAACAUGAAGUACGUGGGAUCUAGCAUGUCAACACUUGAAUAUACAAUGACUCACAUGCUGUUGACGUAGUCUUGUUGUGUAGUGCAUGUUGCCAUUUUUUUCUAUAGGCAUAUAUUAACAUCUGCAGUCUCUCGUUCACAUCCUAAGGAAGCUGUACAGAGAGGCGUUAUCACGUUGACAGGCCGUCAUUAGCACAUAGAUGCAAUCUCUCACCCUCGCCAUCUGUAACUCACACAGUGAAUAAUGAAUUAGAUCAUUAGAGAGGUGUCUUUCUCCUUCACAACAACUGCUAAAUAUUGCAUACUGUUUACUCAGUAGGAGGCAGAAGGAGUUAUAAUUUAAGUUUUAAAAAGUUCCUUGGAGAAAGUAAGUAAAAAUAUAUGCACUCUUUUUUACAUUGCAUUAAAAAAAUAAAAAUUGUCACCCAUAAAGCAUAUGCUGAUGCUCAGAUAAAAAAUACUGUUUCAGUUUUGUGUGAUCAGUUGAUUUUAUCUUUGUGUAAUCAUAACGAGCUGUACACAUUAAUCAGGUUAAUGAUUUAAUGACUGAUUGUUGGCCAACAGUCAUCUGGAAAGCCAAUCUUGUGUUGGCUCAUUGUAAAUUGACAAUACAAGGCUUUUGUGGCAUGGAUGUUGAUGAUGUAUCCGCGGACCAAAAUGGUAGGAUAAUUAGAAAAGGAUAAUUAUGCCUAAUUAAACUGAUUAACUGAUAAUUAAGACAUAUCUGUCUCUGUAUUAGGCUUGAGGAGUUGCAUUAGCUUGAUUUUCUCUGGUAAAUAUGCUUUAUUAUUGUCCUCCACAUUAAUUAUCCCUGUUAUGACUGCCAAAUUCCACUUCUAGAAUCUGCUUGAUGAAUGGGCGAAUGUCAUUUGAAAGUGAGCAUCACUGUCCCUCUUCUCACUCUGAGAAGCACUUGAAAUGAGUAAUCUGAUUUGUGUAGGGCAUUAAGGGCCGUUCACACCAAGGACAAUAACAGUAAACUUUUAAUAAUUGUUUGAAUUCUAUAAGAAUAGUGAAGUCCACGCCACAUAUAAUGACACAAAAGAACUAUAUCAUUGGAAUAAAUUUCAGAACAAUUUUCUUUUUUUUUUCAGCUGAUGAACAAUAAAAAUUUGACAGCCACUCGAAUCCAACCAAUUUAAAGCUGCAGUAGGUAACUUUUGUAAAAAUAUAUUUUUUACAUAUUUGUUAAACCUGUCA